UACGAAGGGGGCUAGCGUUGCUCGGAAUCACUGGGCGUAAAGCGCACGUAGGCGGGUUGUUAAGUCAGGGGUGAAAUCCUGGAGCUCAACUCCAGAACUGCCUUUGAUACUGGCGAUCUCGAGUCCGGGAGAGGUGAGUGGAACUGCGAGUGUAGAGGUGAAAUUCGUAGAUAUUCGCAAGAACACCAGUGGCGAAGGCGGCUCACUGGCCCGGUACUGACGCUGAGGUGCGAAAGCGUGGGGAGCAAACAGG
rnacentral:rRNA from 1 species